GCCCCUGGCUCUGCAGUCACGCUCACUGUGCCUCAGCCUAGCAGGCCCAGUCAUGUGGCCAGGGUGAGUGACAGCAGGAUUCCCAAAGAACUGCAUGCUCCUGAGACCCCAAGUGGAGCACCUGCGAAGAGACGCCCAGGGAAACCACACUGAGGAGGCAUCGAGUGGCUGACGCAGAGCACCUGGUCCGAGCAGCACGCCGCACCACAGCAUGUCUCAAUAUUCAGAAUCAGGCCUGGUCCUCCUAAACUACUGGAGAAGAGCUGGUUAUGACAUGGCAUCUCAUAGUCCAUCUCUUCUUAAGAGAAGCUAUAGUAAAUUUCACUGCUAAGAAGAAAAUCAUCCAAGAAACAGCUAUUCACUUUAAAGAGAGUCAUAAUAGCAAAGUGGGACUCUCCUCAACAUCUGGAUUCAUCUCAGAACACUGGCAAUCCCUACUUAAUAGCAAUCAUUUCUUCGGCAGAUGUAGGAAGAAGGUUCUUUUCUUCUGGACUUACCUAAAUUUAAAAAAUCAUUCGGAAGUUGAAAGAACAGGAAAGCACAUCCUUUUUCACUAACAAUAAAUAAUUUGAAAGAGGAAGGAAAAAAAAAACUCUUUAAGUUUACUAUCUGGCCCAGACCGUCUUACAAUGAAUCACACAGCAAUAAUUUAUUUACGCUGUGUUUACUAUACUUUUUAUCUUAAAAAACGAAUCAUUUUUAAUUGUAUAACUCUUGAUUAACUAUGAAACAGCCCAUUUCUUGACCAUGUCAAUUACAUUCUACUUUUGUUAUUGCCCAGGAAAAAAAGUCCAGAAUCUGUUAUGACUGUUGUCUUAGAUGAACAAACGGUUGAUUAUUUUCCUAACAAUUUCUAAACUGUCAUAAAGUUGAAUUAAAGAUGGUUUGCCUCUGAA